rnacentral:tRNA from 1 species
GGGCGAUUAGCUCAGCUGGUUAGAGUACUACCUUGACAUGGUAGGGGUCACUGGUUCGAUCCCAGUAUCGCCCAGCA